rnacentral:lncRNA from 1 species
CGGUAUAUAAGUCAGAACCCAAAAAAGUGGGUUAAUGGGUGAGCAUGGAGUGAAACUUCAUGGAUCGAUUCUGCUUUAGCAUAGAAAAUGUACCAGACGUUUUCUAUAUUCAAAAUCCCAAGAAGAAACCUACAGAAACCUUCUGCGAGUAUGCUACUUUAUAUAUGAAGCUGCAAAGGUAAGGCCAGCACUUGAAGAAGAAUAAAUGUAUAAGUUCUUCGUCAGAGCUAAGGACUCGCAAUACUAUGAAAGGCUGAUAGUUAUUGAAAACCAUAAAUUCUCUAACAUCAUCAAGCUAGUAGAAAGAAUAGAAGAAGGGAUCAAGAGUAGAAUGGUGACAAAUUUUGAAGCACUCCAGGCCAUAAAUAAGGCUUUGCAGUCAGGAGGUAUCUCUUAGAAGAAAGAAGUGGGUGAUGUAAUGAUAGCGCAAUGUCUAAAGUCUCCUAUCACAUACCAAACACUUCUAGCCACAUACCAACCUUCACACCCCAAAUAUCAACAACUUGCUUCUACCAACCACACAUAUGACACCUAACCCGCAUAUUACCACUCACCAUCUCCAAACAGAGGCAGGACCAAAAUAGAUAUGAAAUAUGCUUAAUACAAUAUCAGAAUAAUAAAUAUCAAAGAAGAAAACUUACUUAACACAUUAUCUUUAUUCCAAUAUAAACAGGAGAAGGAAGGUUACAGUAAUACUGGAAAUACAAGGCUUGGAUGAAUAGAAGGCUUAAGGGAAUUCUUAAGAAUUUUUCUAAAAU